GAUAGAUAGACAGAGAGAUAGAGAGAUACUGUAGAUAGAUAGAUAGACAGAGAGAUAGAGAGAUACUGUAGAUAGAUAGACAGACAGAGAGAGAGAUACUGUAGAUAGAUAGACAGACAGACAGAGAGAUAGAUACUGUACAUAGAUAGACAGAGAGAUAGAGAGAUACUGUAGAUAGAUAGGCAGAGAGAUAGAGAGAUACUGUAGAGAGAUAGAUAGAUAGAUCCAGCUACAGGAUUUAUAAGCAUAAUGCCUUUUGUGACAUUUUUAUUUCUUCUUCUUUUUUUAAUAGUUGCUUAUUUAUUAAUUAAUGCAUAUUUAUUUAUCUGUAAUUGACACUUAACGAGCAAUCAAACGAACUCCUGAGCACACGCCAUGAAGCAGUUCUGCGCCUCAGCUGGAUUCCAAAUCCAGUGUUCCGCGUCCUCAGGUGCGUAAACUUGAUGCGCCACAGAAACCGCAGCACUUAGACACCCGAAAACCCCCGUGUGCUCCUUCAUCUCCCUCUGCUCCAUCCUCCUGCUCCACCAUCCUCUCCACAUACUCCACACCAUCUC
ensembl:lncRNA